rnacentral:tRNA from 1 species
AUUUAAAUAGUUUAAUUAAAAAUAUUGAUUUGUGGUGUCAAUGAUAUGAAUAAUUCAUUUUAAAUC